UCAGGGAGCUUAGCUAUCCGUUGCUUGACGCAGAAGACGAAGCAAUACUACCAGAAAUCACAGGGGCAGAGCUGAGCAGCAUAGCU